rnacentral:misc_RNA from 1 species
GAUGAAGAACGCAGCGAAAUGCGAUAAGUAGUGUGAAUUGCAGAAUUCAGUGAAUCAUCGAAUCUUUGAACGCACAUUGGGCCCCUUGGUAUUCCAUGGGGCAUGCCUGUUCGAGCGUCAUUUGUACCUUCAAGCUUUGCUUGGUGUUGGGUGUUUGUCUCGCCUUUGCGUGUAGACUCGCCUUAAAAUAAUUGGCAGCCGGCGUAUUGAUUUCGGAGCGCAGUACAUCUCGCGCUUUGCACUCAUAACGACAGCGUCCAAAAGUACAUUUUACACUCUUGACCUCGGAUCAGGUAGGGAUACCCGCUGAACUUAAGCAUAUCAAUAAGCGGAGGA